AUUGAACGCUGGCGGCAUGCCUUACACAUGCAAGUCGAACGGUAACAGGUCUUCGGAUGCUGACGAGUGGCGAACGGGUGAGUAAUACAUCGGAACGUGCCCGAUCGUGGGGGAUAACGAGGCGAAAGCUUUGCUAAUACCGCAUACGAUCUACGGAUGAAAGCGGGGGAUCUUCGGACCUCGCGCGGACGGAGCGGCCGAUGGCAGAUUAGGUAGUUGGUGGGAUAAAAGCUUACCAAGCCGACGAUCUGUAGCUGGUCUGAGAGGAUGAUCAGCCACACUGUGACUGAGACACGGCCCAGACUCCUACGGGAGGCAGCAGUCGGGAAUUUUGGACAAGGGGCGAAAGCCUGAUACAGCCAUGCCGCGUGCAGGAUGAAGGCCUUCGGGUUGUAAACUGCUUUUGUACGGAACGAAAAGCCUCUUUCUAAUAAAGAGGGGUCAUGACGGUACCGUAAGAAUAAGCACCGGCUAACUACGUG
rnacentral:rRNA from 1 species